rnacentral:rRNA from 1 species
GACGAACGCUGGCGGCGUGCUUAACACAUGCAAGUCGAACGAAGAGCGAUGGAAGCUUGCUUCUAUCAAUCUUAGUGGCGAACGGGUGAGUAACGCGUAAUCAACCUGCCCUUCAGAGGGGGACAACAGUUGGAAACGACUGCUAAUACCGCAUACGAUCUAAUCUCGGCAUCGAGGAUAGAUGAAAGGUGGCCUCUACAUGUAAGCUAUCACUGAAGGAGGGGAUUGCGUCUGAUUAGCUAGUUGGAGGGGUAACGGCCCACCAAGGCGAUGAUCAGUAGCCGGUCUGAGAGGAUGAACGGCCACAUUGGGACUGAGACACGGCCCAGACUCCUACGGGAGGCAGCAGUGGGGAAUCUUCCGCAAUGGACGAAAGUCCGACGGAGCAACGCCGCGUGAGUGAUGACGGCCUUCGGGUUGUAAAGCUCUGUUAAUCGGGACGAAAGGCCUUCUUGCGAAUAGUGAGAAGGAUUGACGGUACCGGAAUAGAAAGCCACGGCUAACUACGUG